rnacentral:rRNA from 1 species
AUUGAACGCUAACGGCGUGCUUAACACAUGCAAGUCGAGCGGCAGCACAGUAGUAGCAAUACUAUGGGUGGCGAGCGGCGGACGGGUGAGUAAUACAUAGGAAUCUGCCUUAUAGUGGGGGAUAACCCGGGGAAACUCGAGCUAAUACCGCAUAAUCUCUACGGAGAAAAGUAUGGGACCUUCGGGCCAUAUGCUGAAAGAUGAACCUAUGUUGGAUUAGCUAGUUGGUAGGGUAAAGGCCUACCAAGGCAACGAUCCAUAGCUGGUCUGAGAGGAUGAUCAGCCACACUGGGACUGAGACACGGCCCAGACUCCUACGGGAGGCAGCAGUGGGGAAUAUUGGACAAUGGGCGCAAGCCUGAUCCAGCAACGCCGUGUGUGUGAAGAAGGCCUUAGGGUUGUAAAGCACUUUUAGUGGGGAAGAAAAGUUCAUGGCUAAUAUCCAUGAAUGCUGACGUUACCUACAGAAAAAGCACUGGCUAACUCUGUGCCAGCCGCCGCAGUAA